UACGUAGGGCGCGAGCGUUGUCCGGAUUUAUUGGGCGUAAAGAGCUCGUAGGCGGCUUGUCGCGUCGAAUGUGAAAACUCGGGGCUCAACUCCGAGCUUGCAUUCGAUACGGGCAGGCUAGAGUUCGGUAGGGGAGACUGGAAUUCCUGGUGUAGCGGUGAAAUGCGCAGAUAUCAGGAGGAACACCGAUGGCGAAGGCAGGUCUCUGGGCCGAUACUGACGCUGAGGAGCGAAAGCGUGGGGAGCGAACAGG
rnacentral:rRNA from 1 species